rnacentral:rRNA from 1 species
CCAGACUCCUACGGGAGGCAGCAGUGAGGAAUAUUGGUCAAUGGGAGAGAUCCUGAACCAGCCAAGCCGCGUGAGGGAAGACGGCCCUAUGGGUUGUAAACCUCUUUUGUCGGAGAACAAAACCCGGGACGAGUCCCGGACUGCGUGUAUCCGAAGAAAAAGCAUCGGCUAACUCCGUGCCAGCAGCCGCGGUAAUACGGAGGAUGCGAGCGUUAUCCGGAUUUAUUGGGUUUAAAGGGUGCGUAGGCGGUCCGUUAAGUCAGCGGUAAAAUUGCGGGGCUCAACCCCGUCGAGCCGUUGAAACUGACGGUCUUGAGUGGGCGAGAAGUAUGCGGAAUGCGUGGUGUAGCGGUGAAAUGCAUAGAUAUCACGCAGAACUCCGAUUGCGAAGGCAGUAUACCGGCGCCCAACUGACGCUGAAGCACGAAAGCGUGGGUAUCGAACAGGAUUAGAUACCCUCGUAAA